rnacentral:rRNA from 1 species
GAUGAACGCUGGCGGCGUGCCUAAUACAUGCAAGUCGAGCGGACAGACGAGGAUCUUGCUCCGCGCACGUUAGCCGCGGGCGGGUGUGUAACGCGUGUAUAACCUACUUAUAUGUCUGGUAACACUUCGGAAAACCGGAUAUAAUACCGGAGAAUAUCUUGAACCGCAUGGGGGGAUGGUGAAUUUCGGUUUUUGUGUCUCGACUAGAGGCUUCGGCGCCUCUUGGGCUAGUUGUGAAGGUAACGGCUUACCACGGGUACGAUGCGUGGACGAACUGAGAGGCUGAUCGGCCACACUGGAACUGAGACACGGUCAAGGGUCCUACGGGAGGCAGCAGUAGGCAAUCUUCGGCAAUGGGCGAAAGCAUGACGGAGCAGCGCCACGUGAGUGAUGACGGUCUUCGGAUCGUAAAACUCUGUUAUUAGGGAAAAACAACUGUGUACGUAAAUAUGCCCGUCUUGACGGUAACUAAUAAGAAAGCAACGGCUAACUACGUG